GUCUGUAGGUGACUGCAGAGGAUCAUUAGUGAAUACACCGGGGAACCCACUCUGUGGGCCCCAACCCUUCACCAUAUCCUCACACCUGUGCACCGCUGGUAGAUGCCGCUGUACUUCGGUACGGUUUGCAGCUGCUGGCAACCUAUACACACACACCUGAGUUCUAUGAAUGUUAAUUUUACUUGCCUUCGGGCAGAACUAAAAUACAACUUUUGACAACGGAUCUCUUGGUUCUCCCAUCGAUGAAGAACGCAGCGAAAUGCGAUAAGUAAUGUGAAUUGCAGAAUUCAGUGAAUCAUCGAAUCUUUGAACGCACCUUGCGCUCGUUGGUAUUCCGACGAGCAUGCCUGUUUGAGUGUCAUGAAUUCUCCACCCCCAUGUCUUUUGUCACCAAAGGACGUGCUUGGGGCGGGUCCAUGGGCAUCUUUGCCAGUCUUCGGACAGGCUUGCCUUAAAAGUAUUAGCUGGACUGCAUCUGCGAUGCAUUGGUUCUACUCAACGUGAUAAGUUCAUUCGUUGAGGACGGCUUCACGGCCGGCCAAGCUACAAUGCGAUCAAUAGUCUGCUUCUAACCCGGCGCGGAGUGCCUGCACUCCAACCCAACUUAACGCUCUGGCCUCAAAUCAGGUAGGAUUACCCGCUGAACUUAAGCAUAUCAAUAAGCGGAGGAAAAGAAACUAACAAGGAUUCCCCUAGUAACGGCGAGUGAAGCGGGAAGAGCUCAAAUUUGAAAGCUGGCGUCUUCGGCGUCCGCAUUGUAAUCUCGAGAGUUGUUUUCCGUGCUGGACCAUGUACAAGUUCCUUGGAAUAGGACGUCAUAGAGGGUGAGAAUCCCGUACUUGACAUGGCUGCCCAGUGCUUUGUGAUACAACCUCAACGAGUCGAGUUGUUUGGGAAUGCAGCUCAAAAUGGGUGGUAAAUUCCAUCUAAAGCUAAAUAUUGGGGGAGAGACCGAUAGCGAACAAGUACCGUGAGGGAAAGAUGAAAAGCACUUUGGAAAGAGAGUUAAACAGUACGUGAAAUUGUCAAAAGGGAAGCGCUUGAAGUUAGUUAUGCUUGCUGGGACUCAGCCUUGCUUUUGCUUGGUGCAUUUCCCAGUAUGCAGGUCAGCAUCGGUUU
rnacentral:rRNA from 1 species